GGCUAUGCCUCAAUUGAUAAAGUGAACUAAUUGCCUACUUCAAAAGCAGUUUUGCAUGAAAGUCAACAUCUAAUUGGAAUUUACAAUGCCCGAUAUUUCUACACAUCUGCCACAAAUUUUAUGGAAAACAAUAUUUAUAGAAACUGAACAUACCUUGGUUAAACGUAUAUGAAAUGGAUUAUCAUCAUUGAAGAACAUCAACCAGCUGUCGGCAACAUGCAGGUUGACUGAGGAAUCCCCAGUGCGUGGUCACGGACCGUUCCCCAUAUAUCUACUGACUUCAUAUAAAUGAAAGUGUACUAAAGGCUCACUGAUCUACACUACCAGCUCAUGCUCAACGUUACUGAACAACAAAGUAAUCCGACAAUCAGACUGGACCCGGUCAUGUUAGAUACCAGUGGAAGGAGAUGAACAUACAAUUGACUCCGCAUCGAUGCAUGACUUCGCCCGGAACGCGGCAAGAACCAACAAUGGAAGAAAAACUACAGACGUGUUUAUUAACAAUAAAGUUAUUUUUGUUUUUAUGAAAUAGCGAUUGAAUAAAAAUAUUAGGUAUAUGA